UUUCUUUUUUAUCAAAAUUAGUUAUAAUAAGUAUCUAAAUAAUAUAUUCUAUAAAAUCCUAACUAACUCGCUUUUCUAAUUAAAUUAUCCAAAACCUUUUAACUAGAUUAUCAAAACCAUACACACUAACUUUUAUAACAAUUAUAUAAUAGGUUUAAACCCUUUUUUGGUCCCUAAGUUAAGUUCUGAUGUUCAGUUUAGUCCCCGCUUUUAAAAAUGUCAACCUUUAGUCCCU
rnacentral:lncRNA from 1 species